rnacentral:rRNA from 1 species
AUACGUAGGGGGCAAGCGUUGUCCGGAAUUACUGGGCGUAAAGCGCACGCAGGCUGAAUUAUAAGUCGGUAGUCAAAGGCGGAGGCUCAACCUCUGUAUAUCUAUCGAUACUGUAAAUCUGGAGUAUGUGAGAGGGAAGCGGAAUUCCCGGUGUAGCGGUGAAAUGCGCAGAUAUCGGGAGGAACACCAGUGGCGAAGGCGGUUUGCUGGCUGCAUACUGACGCUGAAGCGCGAAAGCCAGGGGAGCAAACGGGAUUAGAUACCCCGGUAGUCCUGGCAGUAAACGAUGUAUGCUGGGUGUGGGAGUAGCGAUACCUCCGUGCCGAAGUUAACGCGAUAAGCAUACCGCCUGGGGAGUACGGUCGCAAGAUUGAAACUCAAAGGAAUUGACGGGG